AUUACAUCUGUUGCCCCCAGUGAGCUGGCAAUGUGACCACGUCACCCCUACUCAGAAGAGUAAACUUUCACAAAAGCUUAUGCAGUUUAUGCCUCUCUCCACGUAGCAAAUUCCACUCCUGAUUCUCUCUCCUGCUUCGGCUAACCACCAUAACAACACACAUCCCCUAAUAAGGAGUGUGAUGUUAGCAGAGAUCAGAAAAGCUAACGUGUAAAUGGAUCUCUACCACCCAACGUCAUUUCCCAAACUUAGCUGCUCAUUUAUUCAUUUCCUUGGCCAUUUAUUCAUUCAUUCCCCUGUCUACCCACUCAUUUCUUUGUUCAUUCAACAGGUAUUUAUUCAAUAACUGUGAUGUGCCUGGUGUGUGCUAAGACCUGGCAUUCCAUGGAGGAGACCCAUGACCACUGAAGGCUCAGCCCAUUGAGAAGGCAAUGCAUGCUCAGGAGAGCCGUAGGCACACCGUGGAGACCAGACGAAGAAAACGCAGUGGAACUAACACGCCAGAUCGCCUUCCUGUGCCGUCUUCGGUCUGAUCAGUGACAGGCCAAGCCCUGCUGGCUUACUUUUUGUUUGCGGACGUGUUAACUUUGCUUUGCUGGUCUUCAGGUCGGAUUUCAAGUGAGAUGCUGGAAAUACAGGGCCAGAAGAGAGUGUGGGCUCUGUUAUUCACAGCUUGCCCUUCAGAACAGAGUGCUGUCUCAGGAGAUUGGCUGAAAAGGCAUUUACUCCUAACCAGCUGCGUGAGCUUCUUGGACCUCAGAUGCCUCUUUUGAAAAGACAGACUUCUUGGCUCCAAGUGAACAGAAUUUUAGUCAAUGAGAUAUAGAUGGACCAUCAACAUGGGAAUCAAGUUUCUAUUCGUAAGUGGAUGGCAUUCAGAAUUGCAGAAAGGGGCUGUGCAAGUGCAUUUGUGGUUUUAAUCAAACCCAAAGCACAUGAACAAUGAUUCUGAGUGAUUAACGAGCCCAUAACCACGUCAGGGUUUCAGCCACCGUAACAUGACAAGACAAAAAGGAAGCGGCGCGCAUUUACAAACAAGUGGUUGGCUCCCAGAGAGCUGGGAACUGAGUGCAGGCUGCUCAUCAGAUGAGACGAGAGCAGUUUAUUGAAUAUUGACUACACGCGAGGCGCUGUCUUAACACUGUAAACAGUUAUCCCACUCAGUCUUCACAAUGGUCUUCUGCGUAGUUAUCCCAAUUUCGCCCCUUCCGACUGUGUAGUUUGGGGAAAGUUACUUAACCUCUUCUGCCUUGGGUUUAGUGCCUGCAAAUGGUCCAAAAAUGGAGUCUGGCAUUCAUUUCUUCACUAUGUGCCAGACACUGUUCCAGGCACUUGAGAUGCCACAGAUCUCUGCCCUUUUGGAGUUCCCAUUUAUGGUGGUUAAUUUUAUGUGUCAACUUGACUGGGCUAAGGGAUGCCCAGAUAGGUGGUAAAACAUUAUUUCUGGGUGUGUCCGUGAGGGUGUUUUUGGAAAAGAUUAGCAUUUGAAUGGGUAGACUGAGUAAAGAAGAUUGCCCUCACGAUGCCAGUGGGCAUCAUCCAAUCCUUGGGCCUGAAGAGAACAAAAAGGCGCAGGAAGGGUGAAUUUGCUCUCUGCUUCAUUUGAGGCUUCCAUCUUCUCCUGUCCCCCAACACUGGCCCUCCUGGUUCUUGGGCCCUUGGACUCGGACUGAAUUGCACCACCAGCUUUCCUGGUUUUGUAGCUUGCAGAUCGUGGGACUUCUCAGCCUCCAUAAUCUUGUGAACCAAUUCCUUUAAUAAAUCUUUCUAUCUAUCCAUCUGUCUACCUAUCUACCUCUCUCCUAUUGGUUCUACUUCUCUGGAAAACCCUGACUAACACAGCAUUCCAGUGAGUAGAGACUGACAGUUAACAAUAAAUAGAGUAAUUCAGCUGCGUGGUGUGUCACAGGGAAAAGAGAAAAAGGAGAGCGAGCUAAAGGAUAUAUACAGGACCAGGGAGGGGUAGAGGUGCAGAUUGCAAUGUUAAAUAGGGUGCUAAGAAUAAGGCUCACCUAGAAGGACGUUUGAGUGAGGACUUGAAGGAGGGGAGCAAGUUAGCCUCAUAAAUAUCUGGAAGAAGAUUGUUCUAGAAAAAGGGACCAGCCAGUGGAAGACAGGACUGACUGGCUAAAGCCCGUGCUUUAGAAAAUCUAUUGAAACGACACAUGGGCACCUGGGUCCUGGGGGAUCUGGUGCUCAGAGCUGGCACAGCAUUACCCACAACCCUUGAAUAUCUACUCUUACAACUUGCACCGCUUAGGCCCCAGGGAAAUGCUUCUCCACAGCUCUUGCCCUGUGUCCUGGAAACACGAGGCCCCUGCGUUCCAAAGCCCAAAUGUUGGUGGGCUAAGCUUCAGCCUGCAUCAGGGGCCGAGAGGGCUGAGCAGCAGAAGCACA
rnacentral:lncRNA from 1 species